rnacentral:rRNA from 1 species
GACGAACCGUGCGAACGUUAUUCGGAAUCACUGGGCUUAAAGCGCGUGUAGGCGGGCCGGCACGUCCGUGGCUGAAAGCCCCCGGCUCAACCGGGGAACGGGCCCGGAUACGACCGGCCUGGAGGGGGGUAGGGGGAGCCGGAACUUCCGGUGGAGCGGUGAAAUGCGUUGAGAUCGGAAGGAACGCCCGUGGCGAAAGCGGGCUCCUGGACCCCACCUGACGCUGAGACGCGAAAGCCAGGGGAGCAAACGGG